rnacentral:tRNA from 1 species
ACCGCGAUAGCUCAGCUGGUUGAGCAUCUGCCCGGGAUGCGGAGGGUCGCCGGUUUGAUUCCGGCUCGCGGCG